rnacentral:rRNA from 1 species
AACGAACGCUGGCGGCAUGCCUAACACAUGCAAGUCGAACGGGAUCCUAGCUUGCUAGGUGAGAGUGGCGGACGGGUGAGUAACACGUGGGAAUCUGCCUUUUGGUUCGGGAUAACCGCGGGAAACUGCGGCUAAUACCGAAUGCCCUCGAGAGAGGAAAGAUUUAUCGCCAGAAGAGGAGCCCGCGUCCGAUUAGGUAGUUGGUGGGGUAAAGGCCUACCAAGCCGACGAUCGGUAGCUGGUCUGAGAGGAUGAUCAGCCACACUGGGACUGAGAUACGGCCCAGACUCCUACGGGAGGCAGCAGUGGGGAAUAUUGGGACAAAUGGGGGGCGAAACCCCC